rnacentral:rRNA from 1 species
GACGAACGCUGGCGGCGCGCCUAACACAUGCAAGUCGAACGAGCGAGAGAGAGCUUGCUUUCUCAAGCGAGUGGCGAACGGGUGAGUAACGCGUGAGGAACCUGCCUCAAAGAGGGGGACAACAGUUGGAAACGGCUGCUAAGACCGCAUAGGCGCGGACGGGACAUCCCGUCCACGUUAAACGUCCUUUCGGGGACGGCUGAAGGAUGGGCCUGUGGCGCAUUAGCUUGUUGGCGGGGCAACGGCCCACCAAGGCGACGAUGCGUAGCCGGCCUGAGAGGGCGGACGGCCACACUGGGACUGAGACACGGCCCAG